rnacentral:rRNA from 1 species
AUGGACCCGGAGCCGCAGCGGUGGGCGGCGACGUACACCACGCAGCUGAGGCAGAAGCGCAAGGCCUACCACGACGGGGUCCUCCUCCUCCGCCCGGACUCCCGCCGCCUCGUCCUCCUCGACGACGCCGGCGUCACCAUCGACGCCAGGUCCCUCCGCGCCGGCGAGUCCGUGUCCGAGGGCGCCUCCGUCGAGUUCCCGUGCCACCUCGUCGACGUCGGCGAGGCCCAGCACGUCCCCACCGCCGCCCGCCCCGGAAGGCCCUCCGAGCCCGCCGCUCCCAGAGCCGCCUACCGCGGCGGCGCCAGGGCGCGUCACGGCGUGGCCAACACCUGCGCUCCCCGCGCGUUCGUGAACCCACCCACGACCGGCGCCGGCAAAACUGAAGCCACGGGCUCUGGCUGUGCCAGGCCCGCCGGUUCGACGUCCCAAGAGUGGAGCGCGAUGUACACCACCCAGGUUUCGCAGAAGGCUAAGAGGUAUCACGACGGCUUCGUGAAGCUCGUUCAAUCUGGGUUGUAUUCCAAGCAGUUUAUUUCGGGUGAUAAAAUGUCUUGA